AAAAAGGCAAACCUUAGAUUUCCGUGCCAACGUUUGACUGUCUGUCUUAUAUAAAUUUUUUUUAUAAUUAGUAUUUUCAUUGUUGUUAGAUGAUAAAACAUGAUUAAUACUUUAUGCGUGACUUAUCUUUUUAAUUUUUGUCAUAUUUUUUUCAAAUAAGACGGACGGUCAAACGUUGGACACGAAAAGCAGGGUUUGUCUUUUU
rfam:Oryza glaberrima chromosome 10 Oglab10_0135_2, whole genome shotgun sequence.